GGGUUUCUCAAUAUAUGCAAUCCGACACAACCAUCUCUCAUUCUCACUCUCAGCAAGCAACACACCCAGUCGAAGGUAGCUGCUCGUCCCAGUCGGAGGUCCGUGUUAGAGACACUCUUCUCUUCUUCCUCCUGCUUUUCUAAUCUGUUGCAGAGGAUAAUGGUUCGUUUAACUGUCAGUGAGAGACAAAUUUUGAGAAAGAAGAAGAUCAUGGCUCUUUAUUUGCAUUGGAUGAAUGUGUUGCAUGUAGUGCAGUGGUUUUUCAAAUUAUGGGAAAAAAUUAUUGUACAUGGUAUUGAAUCAAGCUCUUUGGGAAGACAAUUAUACAUACUUGAUGUUUUUGUCAAUAGGCAAAUUGCGCAUCAAAUAGCUUAUGAGAGUGAUGUCAUUUGUUUUGAUCAACUUAGGAUGAAUAGGAAAGCAUUUAGCAAUUUAUGCAUAAUGCUUGAAACUAGGGGUGGGUUAAAAGCAUCUAAAUACUUGCAAGUAGAUGAGCAAGUGGCCAUGUUUUUACAUGUAAUUGCUCAUCAUGUGAAAAAUAGAGUCAUUAGAUUUCGAUUUAUGAGAUCUGGUGAGACUAUUAGCAAGUUUUUUUCACAAUGUGUUACAUUCAAUCAUUCGACUACAUGGAGCGUUAUUGAAAAUACCUGAACCGGUUGUUGAAAACUCAACAGAUGAAAGGUGGAAAUGGUUCAAGAAUUGCUUAGGGGCACUAGAUGGAACUCAUAUUAGAGUGAGAGUACCUAUGGCUGAUAAACCAAAAUAUCGUACUCGAAAAGGUGAAAUAGCUACAAAUGUCUUAGGUGUAUGCUCCCAAGACAUGCAAUUCAUAUAUGUGUUACCUAGAUGGGAAGGCUCUGCAGCAGAUGGUAGAGUUUUAUGAGAUGCCAUACGUAGAACAAAUGGUUUGUGUGUUCCAAAUGGUCAUUAUUACCUUGUAGAUGGUGGAUAUACUAAUUGUAAGGGAUUUCUUGCUCCAUAUCGAGGCCAACGCUAUCACCUCAACCAAUGGGAAGAUGGGAAUCCUCCCAGAAAUCCACAAGAGUUUUUUAAUAUGGAGCACUCAUCUGCUAGGA